ensembl:lncRNA
GUUCAGACACACACAGAGGAGACAGAGACAGAGCAGUGAUGGUUCAGUCUGGACACAUUCAAAUGUGUGUGUUUUGGAUUCUGCUGCCUCAGUUUGCAGCAGUGAGCAGUCGGACUUCAUCCUACUUCACUGUCAGAGUUGGAGAUGACGUCACUUUGCCCUGUGAGAAUGUGAUCAAACCUCAACCCAGCUGUGGCAGCACCACCUGGCUCUACAGUACACGAAAACGGAGUGAAACAGAGGAGCUGGUUACUCUUGGAAAGAUUUGUGAAUCGCCCAAAUCAGACAGACUGAGUCUGACAGCAGACUGUUCUCUGCUUAUAGAGCGGGUCACAGAUGAGGAUGCUGGUCUGUACACCUGCAGACAGUUCACAUCAGGACGACAACAAGGUUCAGACCAUGUAGUUCAUCUGUCUGUGAUUGACAUAACUGAACGGACUCACACUGAUAAGGUGACUUUAACCUGCUCUGUGCUUACAUUUGGAGACUGUAGACACACAGUGGAGUGGCUGAUACAGAGUACCAGAAACACAAAGAUAAGUCCGUCUACCUGCCAAAGCUCUGUAUCCUUUGACAGUGAUAGGAAGGAUGAAUCAUUUACAUGUAAAGUUACAGACAACAACAACAACAACGUGCUGCUGUGCAGCUCCAAACCUCUGACAUCAUGUAAGAGACAACCAGGUGUGGACAAACCAUCAACGACAUCAACAACCACACACACAUCAACACAAACCAGCGAAAACAACAAAAGCACAGAUGUUACACUGUCUCCAGGAAGCCAAUAUGCACUGUUAAACGAUUACUGGUGGGUGUUCCUCAUCGGUGCUGUCGUGGUUUUUGUGGCUCUUCUGAUCAUUGGAGUGAAAGUCAGAUCAAAGAAGACAGAAGAGAAUCAAACAGAAGAAAACAACACUGUUGAUGCUGAAGUUGCUUACGCCUCCGUCAGCUACACCAAAAACACCAGCAGUGAACCCAGGGAUCGGAGUACAGGUGACGGUGAUGCGGUGACAUACACCACGGUGAGAGCUGCCUCCACUGAUCCCUCUGAUCCGGUCUAUUCUACCCUCAAGUAACAGACCCGCGUGAUCAAUGUGGCGCCUCCUGCAGAAUGGCUGCAACAUGUUGUAAGACAGCGUGUGAAAGGGAGAAGUAAUAACUCAACAUUCUCCUUUGUGGUUUUCAUAAAUGAACGAUGUUUACAGCUCGACACAUUUUGCUUUGUGUAAAUGCUGCUAAGGUUAUAAGCUGUAUGUUUUCACAUCUGUAUGUCUGUAUAGAAUCCUCCCAUUUUCUUCUGUAGGUAUAGAACAUAUAUAUACAUAUAUAGUAUUCAAGAGCAAAGGCUGCAUGUAAAUGACAGUAAAUGCAACUUGAAAGAUUAAGAUUAAGAUUAAGAAACCUUUAUUAGUCCCACAAUGGGGAAAUUGCAUUUUUGCAACGGCAUACAGACAGCGAGAAGGUGCGAAAAAAAAUUAAGAGGAAGUUACUUAUUAAAAGUAGAUGAAAGCCACUGAAAUGAGCUGAACGUGUCAACAUGAAAGAAGAAGCAGAGAGGUGGUUAAAUUCAUAUGUAUCCAUGGUUUCAUCUCACACUGUUAAUAUAUUGCUAUAUAAUAUAUUCAUGAUGUCAUCAUAGGCCUGUUUGAUUGUAUGUGAUGUUUUGUUAAAUAUGCUACUUGUGCAGAACUGAAUUAAACAUUAAGAUGUGUUUAACAAACAUUCUGUUAAUUAUUGAGUCUGUUCUCUGGGUCUCAAACGCCUGGUACUGUCCCACGUCAAGACCAUCACAG